AUAUGAUCAUCCCCUCAUGGUAUGUUCAGAAGAGGUUCCCUGGAGCCUAUUUCUGAGCACCACAUUGAAAGGAGUCAAGUGCAAAUAGGUAUGGGGUCAGGAGGUAUGGUGACUUAGAAGCUUGAGAAAACGUGUUCACAGAAUCAUAAGUCAUUCAGUUGUUGGUUCUUAGUAUCUAAGGUGGGGGAAGGUUGUAAAAGGCAGUAUUCUAAAGGUGUCCCAUCAAGAUUUGUUUACCUUAGUUACUAAAUCAAGCCCUGAUCUAAGGGCUGCCUGAAGAGACUUUGUAGAUGUAAUUAAGAUUAAGUUACUGAAAAUGGAGAAAUUAUCUUGGGUUAUUGGGUGGGGUAAAUCUAAUCACUGGAGUCAUUCAAAGCAGGCAAUUUCUCCAGCCGGAGUCAGAGAGAUGCAGCCAAGCAAAGAGGAAGAAGGGAAAGUAAGACACGGGAUGCAUGAGAAGUAGUUGACCUGCUGUUGAUGGCUCUGAAGAAGAGAGACAGCAGUCAGAGAAUGUGGAUGGCCUCUGGAAGCUGAAAAUGACUGUCAGCUUAAGGCCAGCAAGGAAAUCAGGACCUCAGUUCUAUAAAAGCAAGGAACCGAAUUCAGCCAAUUUGAAUGAUUCUGGAAGUCGAUUCUUCUUAGAGCCUCCCAAUAAAAGCCCAACUAGCUAAGACUUUAUUUUUAUUUUUGUGAAACCAGGAACAGAGAGACCAGCCUAGUCUGACUUCUAAUCUUCGGAACUCUCUCCCAGUGAUGCACAUCCAAGUGAUCUUCAACUCUCACCACAUAAAUGAUGCUACUAUGACAUCUUCAUAAAUAAACAUGGACACUUAUUUGCCUAAGCAUGUAGGGCACAUCAGCAAUUUCUUUGGGAUACAUACCAUGGAGCAAAAAUUCAGAAUUAUAGGAUAUUCAUCUUCUAUAAUUAACUAAACUAUGUCAGCAAUCUAUACUCAAUGAAUACUCCAGUUUACCAGCAGCAACAGAGGAUCCCAUCCCACUUCUCCUUAGGCUUCUUUUGGCUGAGACACUUUUUCAGACAUUUCUUGUUUUUGAUGACCCUGACAAUUUGGAGGAAUGCUGGUCAGAUAUUUUGUAAAAUGAUCCUCUACUGGGAUUUUUCUGAUGUUUUUCUCAGGCUUAGGCUGGGGUUUUGGGUUUUGGAGAAGAUGAUUGCAGAGGUAAAGUGCCAUUUUCACCAUAUCCUAUCAAGGGUAUAUAGUUUCAACAUGAUUUAUCAAUGUUGAGAUUGACCUAAUCACUUGGCUGAUACAGUGUUGAUCAUGUUUCUCCGCUGAAUAGUUUACUGUUUCCCACCCCCUAUCCAUACUGUACUACCUUUUAAAGGAGGCCACUGUGCUCAGUCCACUAAGAAGUAGAGAAUUAUACUCAAUCUUAUUGAGGGUGAAGUAUCUACAAAAAUUAGUUGGAAUUCAUCUAUAGAGAUUUGUCUACUCCUCUCAUUAUUUGUUUAUUCAAUCAUUUAUGUAUAGUAGUAUGGACUCAUGGAUAUUUAUUUACACAUUGGGUAAAUCCAUUACUACUUUAUUUAUUGUGAUACUCAAAUUCUGCCAGCUUUGGUCUUUGGGAACUCUUUCAGUUGGCUUUUACACCCCUUGGACAUAUUCCAAUCAUCAUGAAUUCUUUGAGUACUUCCAUAUUUUCUGCCACUGCAAGAUGUGCCAGGCAUAUCUUGUGUAUUUUCUGCCCUAGUCCCAGAGUCAGCCAUUUGUCCAAAGAGUCUUGGUUUCUUUUACAGGAAAAUGGUAUUAGAAAUCAAGAUCUUAGCACUAGAUCUCAUUGCUGCUGGUGUGUUAUGGGUUUUAGGCCCUCUCAGCUGACAAAACAAGGAAAUAAAAUCAUGUUAUAAAUAUAUAUUAUAAUCUCCACAUAUAAUGGAAAUCUCCACAUACAUGCAAAUCUCUGAGUAUUUCUAUAUAUAACCAUCUGCACCUAUACUAGGCUGAACAUGAGUGCACACUGAUGUCUCCAACUCCAAUCAAAUACCACAAGCAUCAUUCCAAGCCUCCUUUCUUAUCUAUAACUUCCCAGUCCAAUAAUAACUUAACAUUCACUGUCCAUUUAACUAUUAAAUUCUGGUAAAUAUGUUUAUGCUUCAGAAUGGUUAGCUUGUAGGUCCAUGGAAAACAAGUUUAUCAACUAGACUACAGUGCUUAAUUACACUUACGUUUUUCUUUAGUCUUACAUACUCCAUUCAUUUCCAAAGUUACUUAGGUCAACACCUUCUUACCCACCUCCAGGGAGAUAGUUUCAAACUUUCGUAUACAGUUAUGUUAUUUUGUCAUAUUUUGCAUUUCAUCCUGACCUCUUAAACUUCUUAAAAUUUGCAUGUAUUAAGGUUAAUUCUUUGGGAUGUGACAUUCUAUUGGUUUUAACAGAUGCAUAAUGCCAUGAAUCCCCCACUAUAUUACCAUACAAAACAAUUAUACUGCCAUAAAUAAUUCCCUAUACAAUCCUCUCCCCUACCCCUACUCCUGAUCUUUUGACAACCACUGAUUUUUUCUGCCCCAUUUUUUUUGUCUUUCCAGAAUGCCAAGUUAAUAGAAUUAUGCAGCAUAAAACCUUUUCAAAAUGGAUUGUUUCACUUGGCAAUAUGCACAUAAGAUUCAUUCAUGUCUUUGUAUGAUGAUAGCUUAUUCCUUUUUUUUUUUUGCUGUAUAGUUUUCCAUUGUCUGAAUGUACCAUGGUUUAGCCAUUCACCUUUUUGAAGGACAACUUGAUUGCUUCCAGUUUUUGGUACUUGUUCAUAAAGUUGAUGUGAACAUUCAUGGGCUGAUUUUUUGUGUGGACAUAAGUUUCAAAUCAAAUCCAGAAAUUGCUAGAUCAUAUGGUAAGACAAUAUUUAGCUUUAUAAGACACUGCCAAAUUGUCUUCGAAAGUGAAUGUACUAUUUUGCAUUCCCCAUAGCAAUGAAUGAGUUUCCAUCUCAGCAUCUUUGCCAGCAAUUGAUAUUGUCAGUCUUUGUUGGAUUUUAGCCAUUCUAAUGCAUGUUUAGUUGUAUCCCAUUGUUGCCUUAAUUUGCAUUUCCCUAAUGACAAAUAAUGCUGGAAACAUUUUCAUACACUUAUUUUCCAUCUGUAUAUCUUUUUUGGUGAGGUGUCUGUUCAAAUGUUUUAUUCAUUUUUUUAAUUGGGUUGUUUGUUUUUUUUAUUGUUGACUUU